rnacentral:rRNA from 1 species
GAUGAACGCUGGCGGCGUGCCUAAUACAUGCAAGUCGAGCGAACGGACGAGAAGCUUGCUUCUCUGAUGUUAGCGGCGGACGGGUGAGUAACACGUGAAUAACCUACCUAUAAGACUGGGAUAACUUCGGGAAACCGGAGCUAAUACCGGAUAAUAUUAUGAACCGCAUGGUUCAAAAGUGAAUGACGGUCUUGCUGUCACUUAUAGGUGGAUCCGCGCUGCAUUAGCUAGUUGGUAAGGUAACGGCUUACCAAGGCAACGAUGCAUAGCCGACCUGAGAGGGUGAUCGCCCACACUGGAACUGAGACACGGCCCAGACUCCUACGGGAGGCAGCAGUAGGGAAUCUUCCGCAAUGGGCGAAAGCCUGCCGGAGCAACGCCGCGUGAAUGAUGAAGGUCUUCGGAUCGUAAAACUCUGUUAUUAGGGAAGAACAUAUGUGUAAGUAACUGUGCACAGCUUGACGGUACCUAAUCAGAAAGCCACGGCUAACUACAUG